UGAUGAUCCGGAAUAACAUCCCGAAAGGGGUGCUAAUACCUGAUAAGCCCACAAUGGCCUUGGUCAUUGCGGGAAAAGGGGGGGACCUUUGGCCUUCCGUCAUCAGAUGAGUCUGCGUACCAUUAGCUAGUUGGUAGGGUAAAGGCCUACCAAGGCUACGAUGGUUAGCUGGUCUGAGAGGUUGAUCAGCCACACUGGAACUGAGACACGGUCCAGACUCCUACGGGAGGCAGCAGUGGGGAAUUUUGCGCAAUGGGCGAAAGCCUGACGCAGCAACGCCGCGUGAGUGAUGAAGGC
rnacentral:rRNA from 1 species